GAUCUUCUUAAGGCAGAGGAAUUGGCAGCAAAAUACCGCGCCACUGGAACUGCUCCAAAGAAACUCCUUGGAUGUUUUUGAAGCAGCAAGCAUUAGACCUGCAUCGAUGGUGAUUGAAAAUGCUUUUGUAAAGUUUGUGCAAUUGGAAUUUUUUUUUUCUUAUUAGAUACAUUGUGUGAUUAUGUAUUUUAGAAUCAAUCAUUGUUUAUUAUUAUGUGUGCAUAGUGAUGUAUUCCAGUGUAUAUAUCACCUGGACAAAAUUAACUUUGCGGGAUUGUAUGAACCAGUGUUGAAGGAAAUCUUCAUGUUAGUACCCAUCUCCUGCGCAGAAAGCCUCUUUAUUUAGAAUGGCUGAGGUUAUCAUUAUGGUACCAAUUACUACAGAUAUUUAUAACUGCAGUAAAAUGUUUCGCUAUGGCAACUAAUUGAGUGACUUAGAGAAGUCUGAGCUAUCCAGGGUUUCGACCACUUGCCUCUUGGCGUCUAAUUGAAUCCCACUCAUUUCUCCUGUGUUGCUACUCCUCCC
rnacentral:lncRNA from 1 species